rnacentral:rRNA from 1 species
GACAGAGGUGCCAAGCGUUAGGCGGAAUCACUGGGCUUAAAGCGUGUGUAGGUGGAUGCCUAAGUGCCUUGUGAAAUCCCACGGCUCAACCGUGGAAUUGCUGGGCAUACUGGGUGUCUUGAGCCAUCCAGGGGUCGCUGGAACAAACGGUGGAGCGGUGAAAUGCGUAGAGAUGCGGAGGAACACCGAUGGCGAAGGCAGCCCCCUGGGUCGACACUGACGCUCAGGCACGAAAGCGUGGGGAGCAAACAGG